GACACUGACAAGUUGUCAUCACUCUACAUCUCAUUCUAUGGAGUACAAAAAGGGUAAAGACUACGUAAGAAUUUUUGCAGCAGUCAAAACUGAGGGUAAUCUGGAACAACACGCAUCAAGUGCUAUAGUGUCUGGUGGAGCUCAGACUGCCAGUGACUCUAGAAAACCUUUACCUCCUCUCUCACACCAGGUGUAGUCGUCGUUGUUGGAAGAAAUGCAUCCCGAGAAAUCCAGCUCAAUGGGACAGACCCCCGACGGAGCACUGAAGGAAGACGAGAAGAACAUGUGAAUAAUAAAUCAGAACUCAGUUA